UUAAGCGACUAAGCGUACACGGUGGAUGCCCUGGCAGUCAGAGGCGAUGAAGGACGUGCUAAUCUGCGAUAAGCGUCGGUAAGGUGAUAUGAACCGUUAUAACCGGCGAUUUCCGAAUGGGGAAACCCAGUGUGUUUCGACACACUAUCAUUAACUGAAUCCAUAGGUUAAUGAGGCGAACCGGGAGAACUGAAACAUCUAAGUACCCCGAGGAAAAGAAAUCAACCGAGAUUCCCCCAGUAGCGGCGAGCGAACGGGGAGCAGCCCAGAGCCUGAAUCAGUGUGUGUGUUAGUGGAAGCGUCUGGAAAGGCGCGCGAUACAGGGUGACAGCCCCGUACACAAAAAUGCACAUGCUGUGAGCUCGAUGAGUAGGGCGGGACACGUGGUAUCCUGUCUGAAUAUGGGGGGACCAUCCUCCAAGGCUAAAUACUCCUGACUGACCGAUAGUGAACCAGUACCGUGAGGGAAAGGCGAAAAGAACCCCGGCGAGGGGAGUGAAAAAGAACCUGAAACCGUGUACGUACAAGCAGUGGGAGCACGCUUAGGCGUGUGACUGCGUACCUUUUGUAUAAUGGGUCAGCGACUUAUAUUCUGUAGCAAGGUUAACCGAAUAGGGGAGCCGAAGGGAAACCGAGUCUUAACUGGGCGUUAAGUUGCAGGGUAUAGACCCGAAACCCGGUGAUCUAGCCAUGGGCAGGUUGAAGGUUGGGUAACACUAACUGGAGGACCGAACCGACUAAUGUUGAAAAAUUAGCGGAUGACUUGUGGCUGGGGGUGAAAGGCCAAUCAAACCGGGAGAUAGCUGGUUCUCCCCGAAAGCUAUUUAGGUAGCGCCUCGUGAAUUCAUCUCCGGGGGUAGAGCACUGUUUCGGCAAGGGGGUCAUCCCGACUUACCAACCCGAUGCAAACUGCGAAUACCGGAGAAUGUUAUCACGGGAGACACACGGCGGGUGCUAACGUCCGUCGUGAAGAGGGAAACAACCCAGACCGCCAGCUAAGGUCCCAAAGUCAUGGUUAAGUGGGAAACGAUGUGGGAAGGCCCAGACAGCCAGGAUGUUGGCUUAGAAGCAGCCAUCAUUUAAAGAAAGCGUAAUAGCUCACUGGUCGAGUCGGCCUGCGCGGAAGAUGUAACGGGGCUAAACCAUGCACCGAAGCUGCGGCAGCGACGCUUAUGCGUUGUUGGGUAGGGGAGCGUUCUGUAAGCCUGUGAAGGUGUGCUGUGAGGCAUGCUGGAGGUAUCAGAAGUGCGAAUGCUGACAUAAGUAACGAUAAAGCGGGUGAAAAGCCCGCUCGCCGGAAGACCAAGGGUUCCUGUCCAACGUUAAUCGGGGCAGGGUGAGUCGACCCCUAAGGCGAGGCCGAAAGGCGUAGUCGAUGGGAAACAGGUUAAUAUUCCUGUACUUGGUGUUACUGCGAAGGGGGGACGGAGAAGGCUAUGUUGGCCGGGCGACGGUUGUCCCGGUUUAAGCGUGUAGGCUGGUUUUCCAGGCAAAUCCGGAAAAUCAAGGCUGAGGCGUGAUGACGAGGCACUACGGUGCUGAAGCAACAAAUGCCCUGCUUCCAGGAAAAGCCUCUAAGCAUCAGGUAACAUCAAAUCGUACCCCAAACCGACACAGGUGGUCAGGUAGAGAAUACCAAGGCGCUUGAGAGAACUCGGGUGAAGGAACUAGGCAAAAUGGUGCCGUAACUUCGGGAGAAGGCACGCUGAUAUGUAGGUGAAGUCCCUCGCGGAUGGAGCUGAAAUCAGUCGAAGAUACCAGCUGGCUGCAACUGUUUAUUAAAAACACAGCACUGUGCAAACACGAAAGUGGACGUAUACGGUGUGACGCCUGCCCGGUGCCGGAAGGUUAAUUGAUGGGGUUAGCGCAAGCGAAGCUCUUGAUCGAAGCCCCGGUAAACGGCGGCCGUAACUAUAACGGUCCUAAGGUAGCGAAAUUCCUUGUCGGGUAAGUUCCGACCUGCACGAAUGGCGUAAUGAUGGCCAGGCUGUCUCCACCCGAGACUCAGUGAAAUUGAACUCGCUGUGAAGAUGCAGUGUACCCGCGGCAAGACGGAAAGACCCCGUGAACCUUUACUAUAGCUUGACACUGAACAUUGAGCCUUGAUGUGUAGGAUAGGUGGGAGGCUUUGAAGUGUGGACGCCAGUCUGCAUGGAGCCGACCUUGAAAUACCACCCUUUAAUGUUUGAUGUUCUAACGUUGACCCGUGAUCCGGGUUGCGGACAGUGUCUGGUGGGUAGUUUGACUGGGGCGGUCUCCUCCUAAAGAGUAACGGAGGAGCACGAAGGUUGGCUAAUCCUGGUCGGACAUCAGGAGGUUAGUGCAAUGGCAUAAGCCAGCUUGACUGCGAGCGUGACGGCGCGAGCAGGUGCGAAAGCAGGUCAUAGUGAUCCGGUGGUUCUGAAUGGAAGGGCCAUCGCUCAACGGAUAAAAGGUACUCCGGGGAUAACAGGCUGAUACCGCCCAAGAGUUCAUAUCGACGGCGGUGUUUGGCACCUCGAUGUCGGCUCAUCACAUCCUGGGGCUGAAGUAGGUCCCAAGGGUAUGGCUGUUCGCCAUUUAAAGUGGUACGCGAGCUGGGUUUAGAACGUCGUGAGACAGUUCGGUCCCUAUCUGCCGUGGGCGCUGGAGAACUGAGGGGGGCUGCUCCUAGUACGAGAGGACCGGAGUGGACGCAUCACUGGUGUUCGGGUUGUCAUGCCAAUGGCACUGCCCGGUAGCUAAAUGCGGAAGAGAUAAGUGCUGAAAGCAUCUAAGCACGAAACUUGCCCCGAGAUGAGUUCUCCCUGACUCCUUGAGAGUCCUGAAGGAACGUUGAAGACGACGACGUUGAUAGGCCGGGUGUGUAAGCGCAGCGAUGCGUUGAGCUAACCGGUACUAAUGAACCGUGAGGCUUAACCUU
rnacentral:rRNA from 1 species